rnacentral:rRNA from 1 species
GUGGGGAAUUUUGGACAAUGGGCGAAAGCCUGAUCCAGCAAUGCCGCGUGCAGGAUGAAGGCCCUCGGGUUGUAAACUGCUUUUGUACGGAACGAAAAGCCUGGGGCUAAUAUCCCCGGGUCAUGACGGUACCGUAAGAAUAAGCACCGGCUAACUACGUGCCAGCAGCCGCGGUAAUACGUAGGGUGCAAGCGUUAAUCGGAAUUACUGGGCGUAAAGCGUGCGCAGGCGGUUUUGUAAGACAGUGGUGAAAUCCCCGGGCUCAACCUGGGAACGGCCAUUGUGACUGCAAGGCUAGAGUGCGGCAGAGGGGGAUGGAAUUCCGCGUGUAGCAGUGAAAUGCGUAGAUAUGCGGAGGAACACCGAUGGCGAAGGCAAUCCCCUGGGCCUGCACUGACGCUCAUGCACGAAAGCGUGGGGAGCAAACAGGAUUAGAAACCCUGGUAGUCC